UCAAUCUGGCUCAGAGUUCUCAGACCAAGUCUAGAUCUCUUUGGCAGCCAUGAUCAAUCACAAGAAGCUCGUUGCCAUGGCAAGAAAAUGGCAGAAGUUGGCUGCCAUCGGCAGGAGAAGGAUUUCAUCAGCAAGGGCUACAAUGCACCGAAGAAGUGCAGCGAAUUGGUGGCCGAUGAUUAAGGGCCAUUUCGUUGUGUAUACUGCUGAUAAUGGACGUUUUGUCAUUCCCUUGGCUUAUCUAAGCAACCCCAUCUUUAUAGAGUUACUCAGAAUAUCUGAAGAAGAGUUUGGUCUACCAAGCGAUGGGCCCAUUACGUUGCCCUGCGAUGCAGUCUUUGUGGAGUACAUCAUCUCCAUAGCUACUUGUCGGUGCCUGCCAUCUUCAUCUCUCCAUCAACAACCUAACCCACCUCUACUUGUCAAUUAGUUUUGAAUUUGAAGUAGUCUCACUACCAUUUGAGACUAAUUUCUACUUCAAUUUUACACAUUUGUACAUAACGAUUGACAAUGUAAAUUUUUGAGGCAAUACAAAUAUAUAUUCUUUAUUCCUAAAUUUUACUUCACACAUUCCCAUUUCAAGUGUUUGGUUGACGGAAUGGAAAUUCCAUUCCCACUCUAGGCAGAAUGAGAAUCCCCCGUAUGGGAGAAUGGCCAUUCCAGUUUAUCGUUUAACGUUUAAGGUUUCAGUUUUUUUUUUGACAAAAAUAACCCUUUCAUUUUCAACACUAGACAAAGAGAGCUGUCACCGAACAGAGGCUGCGAGCAGAACUCCAAAUGAUCUUCUGUCACUGAACUGACCUCCGGCGAGAUCCUCCCCUGCUCUAUUCGGUAUCGAUCUACAUCUUCACUGCUACCAUUAACGAGCUUUUCACACUAGCUAAACGAGGGGUUGCUGGGCAAAUUUACCAAAGCACCAUCUUUGAGCAAAGACUGAAUGCGGAAAUAUGAUCAAAAGGCCUUUUAUGCUGGUAGCAGAAGGUGGAAAUGAUCUUCCAUGGCCCCCAAUUCUCAAGUUGAAGCACACCGUAACUUCUCAGUGAUCAAGAGCUUGCGACAAAGUGAGAACUUGCAGGUGAAAGAGGAACUGUAUAAACAAAGGAGCACAGUUGUGAAGAUAAGCAGUGAUGAAGAGAAAGGAAUGCUUAGCACAACUAACUGAUUGCUCUGAUUGUAUAUUCCUAAUGUGCAGUCCCUUAUUUGUAAAGAGAUACUCGCACAGUGAAUCCAACUAUGUAAAUAGGUGGUGGUCUCUAGAUCAUACAAGACUUCCUGUCAUCCUUCUAAGGACACUCUUUUGUGGGGUGGAUAAUCAUCUUACGGCUUCAUUUAUGUUGAUUAACCCAAUCUUAUUCAUGGAAGGCAACAUGUUGAUAGUAUGAGUUCCAUGAUUGGACUUUGAAGGACAAUCUUGUGAACUAAUGAAA